UCGUGUGUGUGUGUGGAAUGUUUAGAAGAACACAAGGGGAGUCAAACCCUAGUUAUUAAAGAUCUUCAAAUUGAAGGGUGAAUCGAAGGUCAAACCUAUAAAUGAACAUGAAUUAAUGAUCACCUACACAAGGGGAUCAUGAGGGAUCAUGUCAAGAUGGAUGGAAGCAUGGAAGGCUAAAGGGUCAAAAGGAAGCAAGGAAACGGAUACGAAUACAAACGUUUAAGAAACAGGAUAUGAGCAGCUCAUAAUAGUAUGAAGAAAGUUGCACCAGCACUUGCAGCCAAACAUGAUAUUGCAGUGGCUGGAACAAAUAUCGGGGAGCCUGAGAGGAAGUAUAUCAUCAGGAGCCAAUUUCUAGCCUUGGUUGCUGUUAGAACCCCCCCAUCUACCUAAGCGAAUCAAGAAAGAGAGUACUUCAGAUGGGUCGUGAAGCGAGUGGAAAGCCAUUGUCUUGGUGGGUUUGGAAGAAACAACAAUCGGGUACCUGAUCAGACAUGAAGGCACGAUCAGGAUCACAGACGAUGGGUGACAAGGUUCCAUCAUAAUCCAAGAAAACAACAAUCUGUU